rnacentral:lncRNA from 1 species
AUGGUAGAUUCUCUGCGAUGUAGAGACUGUCUGCCGAAACAGCUUUACUGCGAAGACUGCGAUGUCUCUACACAUGCAAACUUCCCCCUGCACAACAGACAGUCCAUCAUCGAGGGGUUCUACACGCCCCUUCCUCCAACUACAGCCAUAUCUCUCCACAGUGAUGGCAAAUAUGCACUUCAUGAACAGGAUUGUUUCUUACCAUUGGAUGUACCAGAGGUGAUAUGUGAUUGCCUGACAAGCACCAUCCAUGUUGGCCCCUGGAAACAUAUAGUCCUUGUAGUAAUAAAUGGUAUGUGCAAUUUCUACAAGAACCAAACAGUGAUGUAGCAAUGCAAUGUAAAACAAACUUAAUUCAGACUACAUUUUUUUCCUCAAGCUCGCUGCAAUGUCACAGUGCCUGCUGCAAUGUAACAGCAAACUUGGCAGAUCUGAUAAAGAAUGGGUACUGGCCUGCCACUGUCAACUGUGACACCAUAUACCAGGUAGAUCUGUUCAGCUCUUUCAAGGAGCUGAAAGUGUCAGCCCCAGGAAUGUCCCGUCUGGCAUUUAUGUGGAUUUUGGAGCAGCAAACUGACUUCUUUGGCAUGGUAACAAUCAAUUAUACUCAGCUUUACCAAUGUAUGACUUCAGGUUAACUAUGUUACAUUUUGUUACAACACUUUGUGUAACAACUUUAUUUCCAGUACUAUAACUAUGUUAAAACUUCAGGUCUCUUGCUACAGUGUGUUAGCCUCCUGCACCACUGUCCUGCGAUGCACCGUAUCUGUGCCCCUCUUGCUACAGUAUGUGUUAGCCUCCUGCACCACUGUCCUGCGAUGCACCUUAUCUGUGCCCUCUUGCUACAGUGUUAGCCUCCUCCUGAUUUGAUUCCAGGACCAUGGACAGAGACGGAGAGAAAACAUCGCUGACUGCAAUGCAGCACCACAGCAGUGGAAAGAUGACACUCUAGCUGGAGAUUAAAUAAAUACAUGUUUGAAACUGAUGUUGGACAAUCAAAUUCAACAUGUAACUAAACGAAAUUCGUUCCGGCUGGGUCAUUGACAUGAAGCUUAUUUUACACUGCUCCAGCGAAACGAGGCCCGCCAUGCAUUUAUGACAGCAGUUGUUUCCAAAGCUCAAAUUAUCUUACUCUGUUUUACAGUUCUACAGAAAUAUUAAAAUAUAUGUCAAACACGUUAUAUAAAAGUGAUAUUUUUAUUGUAAUUGUAACAAUUAUGGGGUCGUGCCAUGUGUGAUAACCGGUGGGAUAUUAAUAAGAAACUCGUUUUCUACUAUAGGUAGUAGGUAGCAUAGUGAGAGCAACAUUUUAACUCUCCGAUGCAUGGGGUUAAAUAUAAUUGGAGCUUAUUUGUUCAUCUUCCAAUAAAUAAGUGGUAAGUCUACCUGUUUGACAGACACACUUAUCAAAUCCAUAGAUGUCGGUAUAGCCAAAAACUAAAAUACUGUCGCAUGCACUGAUUAAAUACCUCCGUGUCUGGGAAGGGCUUGGUGUGUUUGACUAAAACUUGGGCUCGAGUUGAGUGAAGGUAUCACAUACCCUUUGUUAAUGAAAAUUAUAUAUAUUGUUUGCUUUAUAUUUUGAAAUAAAUACAUAAAACGAUUCCAAAUGAUAUAACAAUUCUUAACUCGGUGAUGGCUUAUGGUAGAAACAAGUUCUAAAGACGUGACUCCGAUGCAUAUGGUGAUAUAUUGAUUCCUCUCUAUGACAAUCUGAAGCUAAACUGCUGCCU